UGCCCCGUGGCUUAGUUGGUUACGGCGUCCGACUGUUAUUUCUUAGUUAUGACAUCGGAAGAUCGAGAGUUCAAGUCUCUCCGGGGCAG